UUUGCGGACUCUGUGCGUGCAGCGUGUCCGCGCUGUGGCAGCUCGCCGUGCGCCUUUGCGCGCACCAGGAAGAAACCAACCGCGCGACAAUGAAAAUCCGAAGUGAAACUCACCAGACAUGAUGGCUGAGAGGAGCAGUGGAUCCUGAGGGAGACCUUUGGAACUCCACAACCGUCUUUUCUGCCUCAGCAAAAAUGGCCAAGAAUGAAAAUUGAGCAAAAGUCUCCAAAAAACAGAAAGCAGAAGGCUUCCAGCUGGAUCAGAGCAUACAACAAUAUUGUAAUAUAGCUGGGAACAUAUUAAAUAGAGCUUUUCUCCCUCCAUGCCUACUAUUUAAAACCCCUAGAACUCAAUGAUUUGACAAUGAUUUGAUUGCGCGUUACUUACAAUUUGAAUAUUCAGAAGCAACUCUUAAAAAUCGAUUUUUCAGUCAAAAUGACCACGCUGGGACUUUGUAAAAGCCCUGUUUUAAUAUAUUAUAUUAUUAUUUUAUAGUUUAUCCAGAAAAAAACACACUUUUAUGGAUUUUAUGCAUCUUUUGACACAUGGCAGCAUCAGAGCCCUGAUUAAAGCCUGCAGCUCCAGGAGCCUGUUCUGUGCAGCUUUAAAGCAGGUUUUAUCCUCAAACCUGUCAUCACACAUAUGUAGUUAUUCUGCAGCCUGUUCAGCUGACUGUAAACAUUUUGUAACGUUUUAAAAAGAAUAAAAGGCAUAAAAGUGAGUUAGGGGGCGUGGCAAAGAGCAGCAGCCAUCUUUGCCAUGGCAGGCCUUCAGGUGCAGCAGGAGCUGCUUCAACCCGGAAGGAAACUCAGCUUUUUUUAAAAACUUCAGAAAUAUUAAUAUUAAUAUUAAUAAUAAUAAUAAUUUCAUAAUUUCUUUUUAAUUUACUCCACGAAACAGUGACUUUAUUUUUGAUCAAAUAAACCACUUAAUUGGCCAUUUUUGAACUGGUUUCAUUAAUCAUUUUUGUUUCAAAGGAUUAAAAUUAACAAAAAUAAAAAAAUAAAAAAUAAUUAAAUAAUCAAUUUCGGUGUUUAAUAGCACAGUUAAAUGAAAUAUAAUAUUCUGAACAUAGAUUUAUUUGGUAAAAUAAACAAUUUAAAUAUC